rnacentral:tRNA from 3 species
GCUCGCGUGGUGUAGUCCGGCCCAUCAUUGCAGGUUUUCAUCCUGUCUACCCGGGUUCGAAUCCCGGCGCGAGCA